UGGCGGACGGGUGAGUAACACGUGGGGUACCUACCCUUGAGGUGAGGAAUACCACCGAGAAAUCGCCGACAAUACCGCAUAUGUUUCGCAAGAAACAAAGUCGCAAGACGCCGGAGGAGGAGCCUGCGCCCGAUUAGCUAGUUGGUGGAGUAAUGGUCUACCAAGGCGACGAUCGGUAGCUGGUCUGAGAGGAUGAUCAGCCACACUGGGAUUGAGAACGGCCCAG
rnacentral:rRNA from 1 species